rnacentral:rRNA from 1 species
ACGGGGCGCAGCAGGCGCGAAAACUGUGCAAUGCGCGAAAGCGCGACACGGGAAACCUGAGUGCCUUGACAUUGUCAAGGCUUUUCUUAAGCCUAAAAAGCUUAACGAAUAAGAGCUGGGCAAGACGGGUGCCAGCCGCCGCGGUAACACCCGCAGCUCGAGUGGUGGUCACUUUUAUUGAGCCUAAAGCGUUUGUAGCCGGUUUUGCAAAUCUUCAGAUAAAUUCCUCUGCUUAACAGAUGAUCUUCUGAAGAGACUGCGAGACUUGGGACCGGGUGAGGUUGAAGGUACUUCCGGGGUAGGGGUAAAAUCCUGUAAUCCUGGAAGGACGACCGGUGGCGAAGGCGUUCAACUAGAACGGAUCCGACGGUGAGGAACGAGGGCUAGGGUAGCAAACCGGAUUAGAUACCCGGGUAGUCCUAGCUGUAAACACUGCCCACUUGGUGUUGCCCCUCCGAUGAGGGGAGGCAGUGCCGGAGCGAAGGUGUUAAGUGGGCCGCUUGGGGAGUAUGGUCGCAAGGCUGAAACUUAAAGGAAUUGGCGGGGGAGCACCGCAACGGGAGGAGCGUGCGGUUUAAUUGGAUUCAACGCCGGAAAACUCACCGGGAGCGACCUUUGGAUGAGAGUCAGCCUGAUGAGCUUACUCGAUAGAAGGAGAGGUGGUGCAUGGCCGUCGUCAGCUCGUACCGUAGGGCGUUCACUUAAGUGUGAUAACGAGCGAGACCCCCAUCUCUAAUUGCUAACGUGCAUUCGCGUACACGCGCACUUUAGAGGGACCGCCAGUGCUAAACUGGAGGAAGGAGGGGUCGACGGCAGGUCAGUACGCCCCGAAUCUCCCGGGCAACACGCGCGCUACAAAGGGCAGGACAAUGAGUUGCCACCUCGAAAGGGGGGGCUAACCUCGAAACCUGUUCGUAGUUAGGAUUGAGGGCUGUAACUCGCCCUCAUGAAUGUGGAUUCCGUAGUAAUCGCGGGUCAACAGCCCGCGGUGAAUAUGCCCCUGCUCCUUGCACACACCGCCCGUCAAACCAUCCGAGCUGGUGCUGGAUGAGGGUAUGCUCUUAUGGGCAAACUCAAAUCUGAUGUCGGUGAGGAGGGUUAAGUCGUAACAAGGUAGCCGUA